GACGUAGGGCGCGAGCGUUGUCCUGAUUUAUUGGGCGUAAAGAGCUCGUAGGCGGCUUGUCGCGUCGACCGUGAAAACUUGGGGCUCAACCCCAAGCCUGCGGUCGAUACGGGCAGGCUCGAGUUCGGUAGGGGAGACUGGAAUUCCUGGUGUAGCGGUGAAAUGCGCAGAUAUCAGGAGGAACACCGAUGGCGAAGGCAGGUCUCUGGGCCGAUACUGACGCUGAGGAGCGAAAGCGUGGGGAGCGAACAGG
rnacentral:rRNA from 1 species